UUAUUUAAAAUAAAUAAGGUAUCAACCUUUGCUAUAGGAGAUAAAAAUUUCUAUAUUUAACUACUUUCGUAUCAUUUUAUGACGCAUUAUUUGAACCCUGAUUCUAUGGCUGCUCAUAAUUGUUGUAUCUGGACUUUUCAAAUGCAGUAUUUCAUCCUUAACAUAAAAAAGGCUGAGCAAAUUGAAAGAGAUUGAAAAGUAAAGUCGAACAAUAAUAGUAUUAUUACUAGUAAAAUAAUGCAUGCACUAGUACAAACAUGCCAAGGAUAUAAAUAAUCACGCUGCUCAAGUACAAAUAUAUAUCCUCAAACUCAGCACCAAAAUCCAGUAACCCUUAAAGCUCUAAGAACACAAUGGUCACAUAUUCCAUAAAAAUAUUAUAAGUAAACAAUAGGGAUAGUACAUAAUUAUCAUAUUGAGGUUGUAGCAGAUUAUAGAUGCACCCUUAUACUUUGUUGGGGAAGUACAACCUUUUAGGCUGAUGUGGCAUAUCACUCUCUUGAAGACAGUGAGAGAUUGAUGGUGCUGAAUUGCUUGGAUUUUCUGUGAAUUCUUCAAAAUUCACCAUGCUAACAAAAUUACAACAAACUCUUUGCCGGGAAAAAUGGGGACCAAGUUCAAAGAUCUGAAAUUUGAAGCAAUCACUUAGUUGGAGAUCUGAAAUUUCACCAAUUGCAAAGAAUGAAAAAGUAAGAAGAGAAAAGAAAAGAAAAAAGAAGAAAGCAAGAAAAUCGACCGGUCGGGAAGGACCUAUCGGAAAGGGAAGCGUACCUUGGAGGAGAAGAUAAACAUUGUAUUAAGUAAUAAGAAGACUAUAAAAUAAAAAAUAAAAAUAGAACACAAAAGAAAGUAAAAAUAACACUAGAAAGGGAAAAAUUACGUGGCAAUUUAUUAUUGGUGCGUGAAACAUACAACAUUCCUUGAAUCUGAAAUUAGUCGUAAAAAGUGGUAUUUAUAUCAUUUUGAACAAAUAUAGAGGGAUCAUAGGAUCCCUGCAAAGUUUAAGUGUUAUUCUGGAGAAACAGGUCAAGUCCAAAGGGGGAAUAUGUAAAACAAUAGGUACAUGUAAAUAGUGGUGCAAUAACUCAAAAUUAGUUCGAUGGAGGUGGCGAUGGAGUAGAAAUAUUUGGAAUAGUGGGAAUUGAAGGCAAAGGAGGCAAAGUGACCUUAAGGAUAGUAGUAGUUGAAAUUGUUGGCAAAGUAGGGAGAGUUGUGUUUGGCAAAGAUGGCAAUGUUGUUGAAAUGUUUGGCAAUUGUGGCAAAGAUGGAAUAGUGGGCAGUGGAAUUUGCAAUAAACUACGAGUUGCAAAGCUAAGGCUAAUGCUUGAGAGUAACAAGGUCAUGACCAA